rnacentral:rRNA from 1 species
UACGGAGGGUGCGAGCGUUGUCCGGAAUCACUGGGCGUAAAGGGCGCGUAGGCGGUUCGGCGCGCGUGCGGUGAAAGCUCGGGGCUUAACCCCGAGUCUGCCGUGCGGACGGCCGAGCUAGGGCACUGUAGAGGCAGGUAGAAUUCCGGGUGUAGCGGUGGAAUGCGUAGAGAUCCGGAAGAAUACCGGUGGCGAAGGCGGCCUGCUGGGCAGUAGCCGACGCUGAGGCGCGACAGCGUGGGGAGCAAACAGG